ncrna:unclassified sequences AdoCbl variant RNA
AUACUGAAUCUUGACGGGGAAUUAGUGCGAAAUUCACUUGCUGUUCCUGCAACCGUAUAGUCGGAGUGCCGUCCAGUAU